rnacentral:ncRNA from 1 species
UUAAAGUUUUAUUCUAACUUUAUAGGUUAAUUUGGUAUUUCCAUACAUGUGAGAUUUAACGUGAAUUUAGAAGGCUUAGAAAGCCAGUUAAAAUUAGUCGCAGUAUUUAAUAUUAAUUAUUAGUUAAGGCUUGAAUUAGGGAUUGUCAUUAGUAAUAACAAAGCUUGUGCCAGCAGUUGCGGUUACACAAGCAUUACAAUUAAGCUUUAUAUAAUAGAAAUAAGGAAUCUCAUGUUAUUUAUGUUUAGACUUUUUAAGUGAAAUUUUAAGUUUAAGGUAAGUGAAAUUUUUCGGUAUUUUGAAACUGUUAAAAAGACUAGGAUUAGAUACCCUAUUAUUGAAAAGUGUAAAAAUUUAUAUUAGAUUAGUAUUAGCUAUGCUCUUGAAAAUUAAAGAUUUUGGCGGUAUCUUAGUCCAUUCAGGGGAGCCUGUCCUAUAAUUGAUGCUCCACGAGUUAGUUGACUUUUUCUUUUAGUUUGUAUAUCGUCGUGAGAGGAAAUUCUAAAAAGAUAACAAUUUUCAUGAUCUAUUUUAUAUAAUAUAUCAGAUCAAGGUGCAGUUGAUGGGAAAGAAGGAGAUGGGCUACAAUAAUUUAAUUUAGACGGAUGAGUCUAUUAAAAAGUCUUUGAAGGUGGAUUUGAUAGUAAUUUAGGUUUUGAUAACUUAAAUGAUUAUGGCUCUAGGAUAUGUACAUAUCGCCCGUCGCUUUCAAUUAAAUUGAAAUAAGUCGUAACAAAGUAGGUGUAUUGGAAAAUGUACCUAGAAUGCA